GCCAGUGUAGUGUAGUGGUUUGAGCAUUGGACUAUGACUCUGAAAAACAGGGUUCAAGUCCCUAUUCAGCCA